AUUGAACGCUGGCGGCAGGCCUAACACAUGCAAGUCGAGCGAGCGGCGGACGGGUGAGUAAUGUAUGGGGACUGCCCGAUAGGGGGGGAUAACUCCUGGAAACGGUGGCUAAUAUCCCAUACUGUCUGAUUAUCCAUAUGGGAUUAGCUAGUGGGUAUGGUAAUGGCUUACCUAGGCGACGAUCCCUAGCUGGUCUGAGAGGAGGAUCAGCCACACUGGAACUGAGACACGGCCCAGACUCCUACGGAGGCAGAAGUGGGGAAUAUUGCACAAUGGGCGCAAGCCUGAUGCAGCCAUGCCGCGUGUAUGAAGAAGGCCCUAGGGUUGUAAAGUACUUUCAGUCGGGAGGCGUUACCGACAGAAGAAGCACCGGCUAACUCCGUGCCAGCAGCCGCGGUAAUAC
rnacentral:rRNA from 1 species